rnacentral:rRNA from 1 species
CGAGAGGCCCAAACGUUAUUCGGAAUUACUGGGCUUAAAGAGUUCGUAGGCGGCGCGGAAAGUAGGGUGUGAAAGCCCUCGGCUCAACCGAGGAAUUGCGCCCUAAACUGCCGUGCUUGAGGAACCUAGAGGUGAGCAGAACAGAUGGUGGAGCGGUGAAAUGCGUUGAUAUCAUCUGGAAUACCGGAGGCGAAGGCGGCUCACUGGGGGUUUUCUGACGCUGAGGAACGAAAGCCAGGGGAGCGAACGGGAUUAGAUACCCCGGUAGUCCUGGCCGUAAACGAUGAGCAUUAGGCCGGAGGGCUGCACAGCUUUCCGGCCGUAGCUAAAGUGUUAAGUGCUCCGCCUGGGGAGUAUGGUCGCAAGGCUG